UGGUGGAGUGAUUUGUCUGGUUAAUUCCGUUAACGAACGAGACCUCAGCCUGCUAAGUAGAUCGGAGUAGAGCUGAUUCGUUAGUUUUACUCUAUGGUAUGCAUCUUCGGGUGUGUAUCAGGUCUUCUUAGAGGGACUUUUGGUGUUUAGCCAAAGGAAGUUUGAGGCAAUAACA
rnacentral:rRNA from 1 species